ACGGCUCAGUAACACGUGGAUAACUGCUCUUGGGUCCGGCAUAACCCCGGGAAACUGGGGAUAAUUCCGGAUAACGCAUAUAUGCUGGAAUGCUUUAUGCGUGAAAUGGAUUCGUCUGCCCAAGGAUGGGUCUGCGGCCUAUCAGGUAGUAGUGGGUGUAAUGUACCUACUAGCCGACGACGGGUACGGGUUGUGAGAGCAAGAGCCCGGAGAUGGAUUCUGAGACAUGAAUCCAGGCCCUACGGGGCGCAGCAGGCGCGAAAACUUUACAAUGCGGGAAACCGUGAUAAGGGGACACCGAGUGCCAGCAUCAUAUGCUGGCUGUCCAGGUGUGUAAAAUACACCUGUUAGCAAGGGCCGGGCAAGACCGGUGCCAGCCGCCGCGGUAACACCGGCGGCCCGAGUGGUGAUCGUGAUUAUUGGGUCUAAAGGGUCCGUAGCCGGUUUGGCCAGUCCUCCGGGAAAUCUGAUAGCUCAACUAUUAGGCUUUCGGGGGAUACUGCCAGACUUGGAACCGGGAGAGGUAAGAGGUACUACAGGGGUAGGAGUGAAAUCUUGUAAUCCCUGUGGGACCACCUGUGGCGAAGGCGUCUUACCAGAACGGGUUCGACGGUGAGGGACGAAAGCUGGGGGCACGAACCGGAUUAGAUACCCGGGUAGUCCCAGCCGUAAACGAUGCUCGCUAGGUGUCAGGCAUGGCGCGACCGUGUCUGGUGCCGCAGGGAAGCCGUGAAGCGAG
rnacentral:rRNA from 1 species